GAACGGUUGCCACGCAGAUCUUCAUUCUGUACAGAAUAACAACGAUUAAACUGAAACAAAUCAGAAAUUGAUGACGUGCAUGCCAUGAGCAGCCAGUGAUGCAA